GAUUUUAUUAUUGCUAGACUGUCCUAGACGCGAGAAAAUGGCGGACCCAUUGACCAAGUACGGUAUUUACAUCGAUGAAUUUAGCAAACUACUCAUUUUAGAACCAGAAGCGGCCAAUCAGUCCAACAAAUUGAAGGACGAAUGUCAAAAUUUUGUAUCCAUGAUUACCGAAUUUGAGAAAAAUACCGAUGACUUUAUCAAAAUAUUGGACGAUUUGGGGAAGGAAGUAGAAAAAGAGAAAAUGAAAACAAUCGGUGCACGAAAUGUCUUACGUUCCACUGCGAAACAAAGAGAAGCCCAGAAACAGCAGAUGCAGGCUUUAAAUUUGGAAAAAUCCAUGAAACUGGAACGACUACGAGUACAAUACGAGUCUUUAAAAAAGAUAGAAUUAGAACAAUUAGAAACCAUCGAACAUUUGUCAGUGAAUUAAUAUCGUUGCAUUAGUAUUAAAACUAUUAAUUUUUGUUUAAUAAAUUUACAUUGUUUUUUUUUUUUAUUGAAUAAUUUUUGCUCUUGCUAAUAACGUAAUGAUUUUAGAAAAUAUCGACACAUUUAGUUUUUUUAGAAUUUUAAAACUGAUGUUAUAUAUAGUCUGAUUUACACCCUAUUUUAAUAUGUAUUAAAUACUAUAGUGGCCGAUCACAGUCAUUCCACAGUCAUUCUUUAAAGGAAUAUUAAAAUAUAUCGGUAUAAACUAUAUAUCUUUGACGAAAAAAUUUGUGUUAAUUAUUCAUGGGAUAAAUCUUUAGAUAAAUCUUUAGGUUCGACAUCAAAUUGCUGUUUGUGAAAAAUAGAUAGUGAUAAAUGUAUCCGUCAAUCAUUUUAUUGGACAAUGCAAUGUUAAUGGUCGCAUUUAGCGAAUUCAACAUAACUAGGAUUAUUUUGCCAUUAACUUUUGGCGGCCAUAUUCUUUAUUAAAAUUCACUGCAUAUAUGUGUGGUUUGAUCAUUUCUAAUUAUUUACUAAAUUAUUUCGAGUGUUAUUUGCAUAUUUAUUUCGCCGCUCUUUUCGAUCAUUUUAAUACUUUGAAAUUGGCAAUCUUGGUCAUUGCUAGAUUUCGAACCGUCGUGACGUCACAAAAAAAAUUUUGCGCGCGGAAAGUUACUGCAAACGUUUCUCGUCCAGCGUCCGACAUUUAUCACGAGUUUAAUAUCACGGAACAUUGUUGUUACUAUAAUUUUGAUAUCAUUUGAUUAUUCAUGGUUUCUACACGUUCAAAAUCGUCUUGACAUAUUUCACGUUACUUUCUCGUCGAAGCACAUCUAAAAUACACGUAUACGUAUAUACAUACAUCAUCAUAGUCAGAUUCUAUCUUAUAUUUAUGUCUCGUGGCGAUUCUUUGGGGAGUAACUAAUCCAUUUAUAAAGAAAGGUGCGCAAGGUCUGGAGAAUGUCAAAGCCACCUCCUUUUAU